rnacentral:rRNA from 1 species
UACGUAGGGGGCUAGCGUUGUCCGGAAUCAUUGGGCGUAAAGCGCGCGUAGGCGGUCAGGUAAGUCCGGUGUGAAAGUCAUAGGCUCAACCUAUGGAUGCCGCUGGAAACUGCCUGACUUGAGUCCGGAAGGGGAGAGUGGAAUUCCUGGUGUAGCGGUGAAAUGCGCAGAUAUCAGGAGGAACACCAAUGGCGAAGGCAGCUCGCUGGAACGGUACUGACGCUGAGGCGCGAAAGCGUGGGGAGCGAACAGG